GACGAACGCUGGCGGCGUGCUUAACACAUGCAAGUCGAACGGAAAGGCCUCUUUCGGGGGGUACUCGAGUGGCGAACGGGUGAGAAACACGUGAGUAACCUGCCCUUGACUUUGGGAUAACUUCAGGAAACUGGGGCUAAUACCGGAUAGGAGCUCCUGCUGCAUGGUGGGGGUUGGAAAGUUUCGGCGGUUGGGGAUGGACUCGCGGCUUAUCAGCUUGUUGGUGGGGUAGUGGCUUACCAAGGCUUUGACGGGUAGCCGGCCUGAGAGGGUGACCGGCCACAUUGGGACUGAGAUACGGCCCAGACUCCUACGGGAGGCAGCAGGGGGGAAUAUUGCACAAUGGGUGGAAGCCUGAUGCAGCAACGCCGUGUGCGGGAUGACGGCCUUCGGGUUGUAAACCGCUUUCGCUCAUGACGAAGCUUUGUGUGACGGUAGUGGGUAAAGAAGCACCGGCUAACUACGUG
rnacentral:rRNA from 1 species